GAUGAACGCUGGCGGCGUGCUUAACACAUGCAAGUCGAACGUGAAGAAGCAGCAAUGUUUCUGAAAGUGGCGGACGGGUGAGUAACACGUGGGUGACCUGCCUUGCAGAGGGGGAUAACGAGGGGAAACCUUCGCUAAUACCGCAUAGGCUUACACCGAUGGGAAUGGUGUGGGUAAAACUGAGGUGCUGCAAGAGGGGCCUGCGUCCGAUUAGCUAGUUGGUGAGGUAAUGGCUCACCAAGGCGAUGAUCGGUAGCUGGUCUGAGAGGACGAUCAGCCACACGGGAACUGAGAAACGGUCCCGACUCCUACGGGGGGCAGCAGUGAGGAAUAUUGGGCAAUGGACGAAAGUCUGACCCAGCAACGCCGCGUGGAGGAUGAAGGUUUUUGGAUUGUAAACUCCUUUGUGGGGGAAGAGUGAGGACGGUACCCCAAGAAUAAGUCACGGCUAACUACGUG
rnacentral:rRNA from 1 species